GAAAUGCGAUAAGUAAUGUGAAUUGCAGAAUUCAGUGAAUCAUCGAAUCUUUGAACGCACAUUGCGCCCGCCAGUAUUCUGGCGGGCAUGCCUGUCCGAGCGUCAUUUCAACCAUCAAGCCCCCGGGCUUGUGUUGGGGACCUGCGGCUGCCCGCAGGCCCUGAAAACCAGUGGCGGGCUCGCUGUCACACCGAGCGUAGUAGCAAUCACCUCGCUCAGGGCGUGCUGCGGGUUCCGGCCGUUAAACAGCCUUACAAAACCCAAGGUUGACCUCGGAUCAUGUAGGAAGACCCGCUGAACUUAAGC
rnacentral:misc_RNA from 1 species